rnacentral:lncRNA from 1 species
AUCUCAAUUAGAUCAGGCCCAUCGGAACCACUAAGUAUAAACACAAUUAAGCUGCAGUCCUUGUUACUGUACUCUUUUUACAUUUUAGUCCCCAUAUUGAGGGGUAUAAAUAGUAGCAACUACCUGUAACAAACUAUGAUAAGUUUUGAAUAAAAUUCCCCAUUCUCCCCAACUCUCUCUCUCUCUCUCUCUCUCUCUCUAGCUCGUCUUCCUCUUCUCUAUCUCUCCUUCUUCUUCCUCACUCCAAUUCUAUCUCAUCCCAAGCACAGAUCCAUUCUCCAUCGAAGCUCUCGAUCUCGCACAGCUGAUACCCGAUCAGUAUUCGAUUGAAUACUGUUUAUCAUCAUCUCCAAUCCACGAUCCUCGGUUUCAUCCUCAUCAGAUCGAGGCAUCGGAUCAGGUAAGCCGAUUCUUCACCCCA